UUAUUCUUUUAUGUCAACCACACCGUGUUAUUUUGUAGGAACAAAAAUAAUCGUAAAGAACCAAAAACGCAACAAUUCCGACCACCUAAAGUCAAAAAAAGAAAACAAUUUUACCUACCGUUUCACAAAUUAUAAGCAGAACUAUAAGCUGUGUUAUCGAAAACAUUUUAUGGCUCAGGAAUAACAAGAAGUGAUUUAAUAUAUCUGGAUUCUUAUUGUCAAACUUUGUUAAGCCUUAAACAAAAUAUCUGCAGCACAUGACACAACUGGAAGAGGUAUAUAUACAGCACAAACAAAUAA